rnacentral:rRNA from 6 species
UUUAAUUGAAGAGUUUGAUCAUGGCUCAGAUUGAACGCUGGCGGCAGGCCUAACACAUGCAAGUCGAGCGG